AAGGAUGCAUUUAUGUAUGUACAUAUGUAUUAUACAGCAUAAAAGAAAAAUUUUCGAUUCGCUUAUCGUCAUCAAUAUCGCCGAUGUUAAAAUUGUGUUCCCUCCUUAAAUUUUGGCUCUUGGAGCUAUCAACAACAGUGGAUUUUUAAACAGGAAUUGUGCAGCCCACUGUCUCCUUGUUUUAAAGGAAAUGCUCUCAAUUUUGGAAUCCACUCUUUGCAAAUCAAAACGGACAUAAUGGAAGAAGAAAAACAAAUAACAAGAAGACAAUUUUUCACUUGAUCGCGAAUUCCAAAUGUGGUUUGCAAAUGUUUCGAUUAUUGCUCCGUGCGAAAGCAAAUUUCUGUAUCCAAAUAGAAAAGGAGUUUACAGCAUAAAUGCGGUGAUUGCGUGCGAUCAGGAUAUGGUGAUAACCUAUAUAAUAAGGAGCUAGCCACGACUCAUUUGUGUGGAAUAAUAGUUUAGAAAAAACAUAUUUGGAGCAAACAUGCCAAAGAGGCGAUCACAAUUCGGUUUACUUAGGUGAUUCUGGUUGUCCACUGCAAGAGUUUCUAUGGGUGCUUUACCAGAAAUAGCGGAAUCAAAUUUAAAGAAAAACGUGCAAAGGCAAGGAACGUAGUUGAAAGGACAAUUGGAACGAUAAAAUGCCAUAUUCGUUGUAUACUAGGUCCGCGUAAACUACCAUAUCCUCAUAGUAAAGCAACUGUAUGUUGUGCUUUACACAAUACUUGUAAAAAUUAUAAUGUAGAUAAUCCUAAACAAGAAACUUUUCUUGAUAUAGUUGUAGCACUGGAAGCAGUUGAAGGAAACUUCAAAGAAACAGCUACAGAAUGUCGUCGAAAACAAAUUGCGAAUGCAUUGUCAUAGCGUAGUUGCAUCAAUAAAA